CAGCAGCCACGGUAAUACGUAGGGUGCGAGCGUUAAUCGGAAUUACUGGGCGUAAAGCGUGCGCAGGCGGUUGUGUAAGACAGGUGUGAAAUCCCCGGGCUUAACCUGGGAACUGCGCUUGUGACUGCACAGCUAGAGUAUGGCAGAGGGAGGUGGAAUUCCACGUGUAGCAGUGAAAUGCGUAGAGAUGUGGAGGAACACCGAUGGCAAAGGCAGCCCCCUGGGCCAAUACUGACGCUCAUGCACGAAAGCGUGGGGAGCAAACAGGAUUAGAUACCCCCGUAGUCCCUGUCUCUUAUAC
rnacentral:rRNA from 1 species